GUUCGUAAGAACAGGGUAUGACGGAGCGGCGAACGGGUGAGUAACACGUGAGCAACCUGCCCCACAGACCGGGAUAGCCCAAGGAAACUUGGAUUAAUACCGGAUUCCCUCGAACAACCGCAUGGUUGAUCGAGGAAAUGCCUUUGUGCUGUGGGAUGGGCUCGCGGCUUAUCAGCUAGUUGGUGGGGUAAAGGCCUACCAAGGCAUCGACGAGUAGCUGGUCUGAGAGGACGAUCAGCCACACUGGAACUGAGACACGGUCCAGACUCCUACGGGAGGCAGCAGCAGGGAAUCUUGCGCAAUGGGCGAAAGCCUGACGCAGCAACGCCGCGUGGGGGAUGAAGGCCUUCGGGUUGUAAACCCCUUUCAGGAGGGAAGAAAUUGACGGUACCUCCAGAAGAAGGACCGGCCAACUACGUGCCAGCAGCCGCGGUAAUACGUAGGGUCCUAGCGUUAUCCGGAAUCAUUGGGCGUAAAGAGCUCGUAGGCGGUUCAGCAAGUCGGCUGUGAAAGUCCGAGGCUUAACCUCGGAAUUGCAGUCGAUACUGCUGUGACUCGAGUCCGGUAGAGGAGAAUGGAAUUCUCGGUGUAGCGGUGAAAUGCGCAGAUAUCGAGAGGAACACCAGUAGCGAAGGCGGUUCUCUGGGCCGGCACUGACGCUGAGGAGCGAAAGCGUGGGGAGCAAACAGGAUUAGAUACCCUGGUAGUCCACGCCGUAAACGUUGGAUACUAGGUGUG
rnacentral:rRNA from 1 species